AAGGAAGAUGAAAAUGCUCUGUCUCAUGUCUGAGCUCCAAUUCAGGCUGUCAGGCCUGAAAAGAAUAAGCUCCAUCUGAGCACAAGAGAAUCAAAGCAGCAGCAUGGACCUUAACACCACUGCUCACUGGAAAAAUCAGGAGAGGAAAAGACAAGAGGAUUGCUUCAUUAAGAGAUAUCCUCACUAAGAAGGCCAAAGUUUAGAAGGAGCAAACAAAUGUCAGUGAUAUCAUGGCAAGAGGUAUCAUAUUAUAUGCUAUUUACAGAAAAGAUCCCAAAGACACAGCAUAUAUUACAGCUCGAUGAUGAAAAUGGUUUACACCUAAUUACAACAGGAGAAAGGCUUCCCUUUAUACAACUUAUAAUUUUGAGACAUUUAUGGUAGUCCAUAAAGCAAAGUAGUAAACACCAAAGGUUUGGAGUCAUCUAAACUUGAUUUGAAUACUGGAUUUGUCAAUCUGGCUGUCAAGAAUUCCCUACUUUGCAAAAUUAUCCUCUAAAUGUUAAGUAGAAAUGUUUUCUCAGAAAAAUAAAACUGAAUGUAUUGC